AUUGAACGCUGGCGGCAGGCCUAACACAUGCAAGUCGAACGGCAGCACAGAAGAGCUUGCUCUUUGGGUGGCGAGUGGCGGACGGGUGAGUAACACGUAGGAAUCUACCCAGUAGUGGGGGAUAACCUGGGGAAACCCAGGCUAAUACCGCAUACGCCCUGAGGGGGAAAGCGGGGGAUCUUCGGACCUCGCGCUAUUGGAUGAGCCUGCGUCGGAUUAGCUAGUUGGUGGGGUAAGGGCCCACCAAGGCGACGAUCCGUAGCUGGUCUGAGAGGAUGACCAGUCACACCGGAACUGAGACACGGUCCGGACUCCUACGGGAGGCAGCAGUGGGGAAUAUUGGACAAUGGGCGCAAGCCUGAUCCAGCCAUGCCGCGUGGGUGAAGAAGGCCUU
rnacentral:rRNA from 1 species